rnacentral:rRNA from 1 species
CCUANGGGAGGCAGCAGUAGGGAAUAUUGGGCAAUGGGCGAAAGCCUGACCCAGCCAUGCCGCGUGCAGGAUUGAAGGCUCUACGAGUUGUAAACUGCUUUUAUUCGGGACGAACACUCUUGAUUCUUCAAGAGCUGACGGUACCGAUUGAAUAAGGACCGGCUAACUCCGUGCCAGCAGCCGCGGUAAUACGGAGGGUCCAAGCGUUAUCCGGAUUUACUGGGUUUAAAGGGUGCGUAGGUGGUCAGAUCAGUCAGUGGUGAAAUCCUACAGCUCAACUGUAGAACUGCCAUUGAAACUUUCUGACUUGAGUAUAGUUGAGGCGGGUGGAAUGUAUCAUGUAGCGGUGAAAUGCUUAGAUAUGAUACAGAACACCGAUUGUGAAGGCAGCUCGCUAAACUAUUACUGACACUGAGGCACGAAAGCGUGGGUAUCGAACAGGAUUAGAUACCCCUNUANUC